rnacentral:lncRNA from 1 species
GUCACGGGUUUCGCUUCUUCGAAGGAGAUAGACGUGGUGCCUGGGUUUUAAGCGCUUGCCUUCUGUUGCUGCCUUGUGCUAGGGCGUAGGGAACUCUACCCAGAUUGCCAGCCUUUGUGCAGGUGUGGAAAGUGUUUCUUAGUUGUCAGCAGCAUUCCCAACGUUGCUCACCUUCCUCUGAGGUGUGGGUUCACCUCUGGCCGAGCCAGCGCCGACGCGCGAAGCAGAGCUUUUGUGGUAGUAACUACGAACGAUAUAUCGUGAAGUCGCUCAGUCGUGUCCGAGCUCUUUGUGACCCCAUGGACUGUAGCCCACCAGGCUCCUCCAUCCAUGGAAUUUUCUAGGCAAGAGUACUGGAGUGGGUUGCCAUUUCCUUAUAAUAGCUCCCAAUUAGGGAGCAGUGACUGUGCUGAAAACAUACAAAUAUGAGGUCCAAAGAGAUUAAGUUACGUGCUCGAGGCCAAACAGACGUGGCUGAAUGAAUGACAGAAGACAGAAUAGUCAAUGAGUAAAAGGAAAUGAGAAAUGCAGUUUCUUUGAAAACCACAUGAAAAAUAUUUCAAGGGACAAAUUUUGUGUUAAAUAUAAUUAAGUGAUUAACUGAAGAAAAAAAAAAAACAACUCUUGAAGUUUCAAAGAAGAAAUUGAGAAUUCUCUCGUCACGGCAAAGGAUUUGUUUGCAUCUACUUUCCCGUCUCCUACAACUAGAAUGUUUACUGAGUGUCUAAUAAUAAGCCAUACUGUUUUCCCCUGGCUGACAGUGAGGAAAAAACAAAACAUUUUUUCUAAAAGAAGGAUGAAUUUUGCAGUCGUUUGAAAUUUAUAUUCUUGUCCUCCCCUUUCCCAAGGCAGCAAGCAUUUGCCGAGGUGACUGGAUACCUGAUGCUCAGCAACUGCCUCUCCAGGCAACAUUUACCGUUCUAUCCAGUUGCGACCGCGACGGUUUCCAUGGCGACAACUUUGUUUCUACGCGGCGACCGCCCAGCUCGGCAGGAACCUGUGGGGUUCCGGAUGUUUCCCCAUCGUUUUCCUUUUUCCUUUCACCACUGGAGAAGUUCUCUGAAGGUUUCCCUCUUAUCCGAGCAGCCGGAAAGAAGUGAAAGCAAUCAGACAGGUACUUUCUUGUCCUCAACUCUUCUCUUUACCCCUCUCCCAGGGCAGGAAAU